ensembl:lncRNA
CCUUUGCGUUGACCGGCUCCUCAUGACCCCCCUCCAUCCUCCAGUCAAACCAUCAUUCUGGCCCCUGGGGGAGGGGGGGGGGUGGAUGUGCCUAGAGCACUGCACAUUACGUGGCGCUUUGAUUCGCUGGAUGAAGAGGAGGAUCUUUACUCCGGCUCACUGGGCGUUUUUCAUCAAAGUUCGAAGAUGAGUCGCCGGGUUCCUCACGAGCUUCAUUGUGUCCUUACGGAUUCCACGGAGAUGUAGAGCGGGGGCCAUUGUGUCUGAAAGGACUUCCAUGCAAUGAGAACGUAAUGAAAAAUGAAGUGCUUUUUCUUUUUUUUCUCUGUACCAUCUGGUCUCAAUCGCAGCCGUAUCCUAAACAUGAGCGGUUUCUUAAAUGCAAAGCUGGGCUCGCCUCCCAGAUGUUAAGCACUCAUUAUUCCAGUCAGGCCUCUCAGUCGGGCACAAAAAACCCAAAACUUUUUCACUUCAUUAUCACAUAACAAUAGCUGUUUUCACUGUUUAUGAUGUGGUCCGUGUUUAACUCAGUCACGACUCCGACGCCAGGGCAGCUUUCCCUUCGGGGUCACGUGGAAGAUCACACGUCACGCGCACAGAAAAUGGACACGUCUUUGAGCACUAAUUAUGACGUCAGUGUGAAAUUUGAGUCUGUCGAUGAAUGUGUGUGUUUGUACGAGACCUCAAACAUCCUGUUUAAUGUACCUAAAGUUCUUUACACGUUAACAUAUCCCUUUAAAAUAGUUUGGCGUAGUAACCUUUAACCAAUCAAACCACUGCACAGCCGUGUGCCCUCUGACGUCAGCACGCCGUCUCCCCACAAGCGCCACGACUAAAGUGCUGCAAAGAGGCCGUUGCUGCCCCGACCGACGGGGCCAGUCUAAUAACUGGAACGUGGGCGGCCUCGUGCUGCGUGCAGCUCUGUAGCUGCUUCCUUUCGUCGACUCUCACAUCCUCCUUUUGUUGACCGUCAAUGAAAGGUUUCCUCGUACGUCAGGGCCGCGCCGGCAACCACGUGGAGUCCCACCUAGUGGUGAGAAUGAUGAUGAUGAUGAUGAUGGGGGCCCGAACAGGUGCGUGGAAGCACCUGUAGGAGCCAGAGAGGAGCAGCGGAUGGAGAAACGCCCGCGUGUCACUUGCUAAAGUGACGGAAGACAAACUGCUGGGUCACUUCUUCAAAGCAAUGCGGCAGAUGUGCUGAAUCACUGUACAGAUGUGCUGAAGCUGCCGUGCUGUGAGGAGGCGACCUGCAUGAAGUCUGAGGACACGUCCCGGGACCCUGAAGGGACAUGAGUCACUGCAAUAUGUUUCAGCAUUCUCUUUAGUACAGCGUUGUAACACAGAUCCAGUUCAGAUAAAGUGGAUAUUAAGUGGCCGCUUCUCCUCUUUUCCCUCCCGAGACUAUAAGGUACAAACAAUUACAUGUUGGUAUUUUUUUAAUUUAACGACUGACAAAUAAACAGUGUCUUAAUUCGGCUGUGAAGUUGCUUCAUGAACGCUCAAAAAAAGGGUCAAAAUUGAUGCACUGCGACAAACGCUGUGCAGGGAGAGGAGAGUCACCUGACCACGUCGCUGCUUGAAUGAAUGACAACUCUGCCAGCAAUGCAACAUGUGGCGUCAGGAACGCCAUCAGGGCUUUCCCACAUGUUAGGAGACGGGUGAGCAGUGUGAUGACCACUGUGUGUGUAGUGCAACAUGCUUGUGUAACCUCAUCCAUCCUGAUGCUGUUAUGAAUUAACAGCGUAUGGUCUACAUUGUUAUUGGCAGACGUAAUGAAAGUGUGAUGACGCUCGUGUGAUUUUGACCUUUUCGCAGAGGACGGAAGAAAAGGGAAAGUCUGGCAAACAUGAACUAUACUUUAUGUACUUUUGGGAACAAGUUGGACCUUGACUCGUAAGUCUUGAUCUUCAAUCAUUUCAUCACACCUCACCCCUCCUGCCCCCCUCCUGCCCCCCUCCCCCAAACGCCAUUAGUCAAAUUGGAACGUCAAUACUGACUCGACCCUCAGCAAAGUUGUUGUGAUGUGAGCUUUGACCAAUGGAGGGCAGUGUGACUGUGACGACGAGCGCCAUCACACACGCGCCGCCGCGCUCACCUGCCUGAGAUGCCGCUGCGUUUGGCCACAAAGGCCGCAGAGCAAGACGUAGGAACGACGCGUUGAUUUAUCUGCCACCUGCCAGAUGUGACACGCUAAUACGUCCAGAUCCCUGCGAUUUAUAACUGAAUGAAGACAGAGGGAAAACGUUAGAUUGUUAAGUCCCAAAAAAGCAUCUGAUGAAAAUGGAAUAACACAUUUCUAUGGAUGCCAAGAUAACUAAUGAUCAGACUUACAGAUGAAUCAUGACUACUAGUCCUCUAAAAUGUUUUAGCAGUGGUUGGUUCUGAUAUUUGAGCCCUUCUCCCUCAAAAGAAAAUCCUGCAUCUGGAAAUAUACAUCUGCCGGUGUUUUCUCACUCAUCAACGUUUGAUUUUUCUUCUUCUUCCUUCUAUUCCACGUUUUUUUCUGAAAAGCGGCGGCAGGAGCCAGGAGGGGGCGAGGGGGGGGUCAGCUGAGCUCGGACGGCAGACUCACCUGAAGGCCAAACCUCAGACCUCGGGGUAGCACCACGUGACUGAAUUACACAAAGACUCCUUCCAGAGAUUACAAAGAAGAACCCGUAAGGCCCAGUGUGCAUUCUGUUUUUUGGUUUUCAUGCAGUCACCGAUUUAUCAUUUGUUCUGAUUGUGUUGAAUCAUUUUGCCGGCUCUAUUUCCUUUUGCGCGCUGACUUUUAUAUUCUUUCUAAUCUCAAUUUAUCAUUUUUUCAGGUCCAACUAUCUAAUGUUGUGUAAAAUAAUAUACUUUCCCCAUUUACACACACUCGCACUGCUUGUUCCUGCACCGCUACUGCUGCAUCUCUCCAAAGAGCUUCUGCAAACAGCUGCCUGAUUAAUAAGUUAGGCCCUCUAAAUAUGGCUCAGAGUCAUGAAGCCUUUAAAACAACUUAAUAAUAACGGUAAUCAAGAUUAUCAACAACCUCGCAAUUACAUCUUUACACUUUCCUCUCUUAAUUAUGUAUAGCUCUCCUUCAGCGUGGAUAAAAGGGCUCCUUUCCGGGUCUCAGGUGGAUUGUUCAUCUUAAGUGUUUAUGAUGGUGUAUUUGUAUCGCAGCUAAGCCGCGCUGCCUUAAAGUGGCAGCGAGCUAACGGGGGGCCGCGCCUCUUCCUGGGUGAGAAUCAACCACAAUCGAGGAGUAUCUAUGUUUUAUUUAUUGGUAUGUUUAAGUGCUGUUGGGGAGGAGGGGGGGGGGGGGGGGGACUACCAUUCAUUAUCAUAAAGGCCUCCAGACAUCAAGUCACACACACAAAAGAUCCAGUCAUUUCACACACACACACACACACACACACGCAGAUCAACCCGCGCGCCCGAGACGAGCAGGCCGUUUUGCUGCAGGGGCGCCUCGCCAGCAACCAUCGGAAGCUUCAGUGACAGAAGCUGACAGUGUCAAAGUGUCUUUGUCUCCCGCACAUAAACUGUCCCCGAAGCGGUCGUUGUGAAAGAGAUGUAAAACACAGGCUUUUCCUUUGCUUUUUUUCUUCUUUUUUUUCAUAGUGAGAGGAAGUUGUUUUCACCCCCCCCCCCCUCACACUUUUUUUUUUUUAUAAAUAUGUCACAUCUCUUCUGUCAGGGCCCCGGGGCGCCCGGUGGUGCUCGUGUUGCAGGAGGAGUGCGAGCAUCUGCAGACCCAGCGGAGUCUGACCACGUUGUACCUGCGCCCGUCUUCAUCUCGCUUACUUUGUCAAAUGAUGCUCAAAGCCGCGAUUCCUCAGACGGCCGCGUUGUCAUCUCAUCACAUCCGAGUGAAUGAAUCUUUGUGCCAGCACGAACAGAUGUUGGGGAGGGAAAAGUCAGUAAGAAAAACUCAAUAUGAAGCCUGCGGAGGCCUUCCUCUCUCUCUCUCUCGCUUUCUCUUCAAUUAUUUAGAGUCAAAGAAAAAGGCAUGGAGUAUUUCCACAGAACCCACUGUGUUCGGCAGGAAUGAAUCACACAUUUAUGUAGUCUCAUCUUUGCCAAAUAGCCGGAAAUGGAAACAAAUACGUUCAAUAGGGUCCUUGGCUCUGGUGUGUUUUUUUCUUUUUUCCUAUGCGUAGUAUUAAAAAUUCCUCUGGACCAGAAAUGAUGGAAGUGCUGACAAGCAAAAAACUGUUAUGGUAUCCAAAUCCAGUACGCUUAGCAGUUCAGGCAAAGCUCAUCCUCCCUCUCGUCUCAUGUGAUGGGGGAGGAGGGAGGGAGGGGAGGAGAAAAAGAGAGAGAGAGAGAGCAGGAAAAAGAGCUCACCUAUUUAAUUUGAUUAGAGAUUAGAAGAGGAAAAGAGUCACAUUUCCUCCCCGGCACGUCUCUACCCGGCGCACCCUGAACCCGAUUCUAUAAAGAGAUGUCAGAGCCGAGCGCCGCGGUAAUGCCUGUAAUUACUCUGAACUCAAAUAAAUAAAUAAAUUUGCUUUUGCUUUUGUGAAAGUCUGACAGCUUUUUCCAACAUCCUUCACUGGAAGAAAUUGAGGGUGUGAGCCCACAGGCGUGUACUUUUGGCAGUGUCUGUGUGUGUGUGUGUGUGUGCGUGUCUUUGUGUGGGUGUGUUUACAUACAGCGAGGCACUUGUAAAGGAGAAACACAGACAGGAUGAAAUCUUGACAGCUACAGUAUGGCUUGUCCCCCCCCCACCCCCCCCCCUCGCUUCUUUCUAUUUUGACUGCGAUAAUCUCCGCUCUCCCCGCGCGCCCCGUUUGAGACUGAUGAGGUUCGAGGUGCAAGCUUUGUAAAUAAUAAGGUUAGACUUUCUACACAGUUGCCGGUGCUGCGACUGAUCUCGCUCCCAUUAGUGACAAUUGGCUGUGACCUCACCUGCUCACCCGCGCUGUCAUCACCGAGGGUGUAUCUACUACAGCGGCAGUAGCAGGCGAUUAGAUCAGCCGCUCUGGUCAUGGAGGGAGACACGCAGACAAAUGCAGCUCUGCUGAACCAAAGGGGGUCUGAUGCACGGUGUCAUGGAGGUUGGCUGCUUGACUUUUGAUGCUGUGCAACUGCAGAAGUUGGUUUCAUAUUUCACGUAUUAGAGGGGGGAAAAACUAAAAACCUCUCGCAAAGCAAGCAGUGUGUUUUCAGGUACAAUCUCAACAGUUACUUAAAGAUAAUCCAGCUGCAUCCAUCAUUGUAAGAUAACGUGUUCAAUUAUUACUAUUAUAGUUUAAGUAUUCAAACUAUUUCUCCAGUAGUUAAAUAUUUGAACUGUUUGUCCAUUACUUUAAGUUAACUAAUACAGAUGCACAUUUUAUUGAGUCAUUGAGUUUCCUUUUAGUAGAGUAAAUUUCUCCCUGUUAAUAUUUCCACACUGUUGUUGUACACUAGUGUGCAUCUACAUGUCUGUUUCAUUCACAAGGAAAAAUAUAAGAAAUAUUGACCCCUUCCUAAAAGAUAAACUGUAUAUAAUAACACCGCUUUUUGAAAAUGUAAAAUAGUCUUUGUGAAAGUAUUCAUGACAAAAAUAAUAGUUCAAAAAGAUUUAUUAAUGCGCACAUUUUAAUCAGAGCAGAAAUCCCCCUUAUAUGCGAAGGCCCUCAAGCUACAACAUGGGCAUUUAUCGGGCGUGGAGGGUCAAACGAACGAUUAUGGCAAAUGUAGGAUAAAGUAUUCACUAUUAAAAGUCGGGUUAUUUGUCGGAAGUUUUUUUUAAGGGUAUUACAAAAUUCCCGUUGUACUUCCACGAUAGCAGUACGCAUCCCAUGGAUGAACAACAGUCAAUAGUCCGUCCCCCCCAAUACAUAUCGAAAAAGAUAUCACAUCACAUUCCUGCAGUUUAAUCUUUACCAAAAAUACAUUUGCUUGAUAAGAGAGAGCAAGACUAAAAAAAAGCUUAUCUUUGCCGGCUGGCGCCUUCAUCGGUGGGAGAACUCAUCAUGAAAGAAAGUGAGCUUCAGUGUGACGUCGUCAAUGGUUCCACACGUGCAAAGUGACGUCACGCCUGCAGACUGGGCCCUUAGUGCAGCUGGAGUUUGCCAUUUUUUAACCGCGAGGACAAACGGAAACCAGGUUGGGAAAAUGUCAGUUUACAUUUCGUGCGACUGCAGAAUCGCAAUCCCUCAUAUCUGCUUUUGUCCCUCACCGUCCCGCCACUGCCUCUCUUCUGCGCGUCCACCACCACCACCACGUGCGUCCGGUCUCUGAGGGUCAAUCAGCAGCUCCGCACCAAAUAUCUCGAUGCUCACAGUGCGUUUGUAUCCCGCGGUCCCUCUACAGCACGCCGGGAGCAGCCACUCCUCUACAGCGAGGCAGGUGUUCAGGAAGCUCCUUCCCCGACCAAAGCGCCGCCGUAUCAAUUAUAGAUGGUGAGACAACCUUUAAACAUGUUCAUUAAAGACAACGCUUUCUUUAAAAAGAGAAAACACAACUCCCCUCACACCCCCCCCCCCCCCCCUCUCUCGGCUGUCGGCUUUCUCCCCCGUACCCUCUUUUCCUACUCAACCGUGUGUACGAGUGAGGAGAAAGACACAGGCGGCGCCUCGGCAACCUUGACUGGGAGACAAGCGGGAGACACGCGCGCGACUUUGCCUGUGAUGGCUGUUAGCUAGCUCCCCCUCCACCAGCCGCCUGCCUGCUGAUGUGCCAUUACCCGCUCCGGAGGAGAUGCUUGUGCGGAGGGUGACACGUUAUUAUCCUUUAAUCUCAGUCUCAGCUUGUUGAGCAUCAAAUUGAAAUAUCCUGAACAGAUGUAAAAACACAUGUGAGGUUGGGCGCGCAAGCUGCGCUGCGCUUUGUUUCAUCUAUCCGUGAUGUGAGCCUUAAGGAGAGGCUUUUUAAAAUUUCAUCACUAUUCAAAAGGAUAAUUAAUACGUACCCCCAGGCUUUGAUUAUGCGAUACCCAGUGUGUAGUGCUGGUGUUGCCAUAAUGAGCCACUCAUCAGCUCUCAGCCUGUGCCUCCAACAAACAUACAGUUUGCAUAAGGUACUUAAGAUUCUGCUGUGGCACCAUCACACUUGAGUGUAUAUGUGUGUGUGUGUGUGUGUGUGUGUGUGUGUGUGUGUGUGCCUGAAGUGUGAGUCCCCUUCUAAUUUGCAGCACAAUGCUAUAGAUUAUGUUGCAGUUUGUUUACAAGAGGACCCCCUGUCAGAUUGUCAGCAGAUAGCUGUGCCCUGUUUCUAUAACACCUGCCAUCACCUACACACACACACACACACACACACACACACACACACACACACACACACACACACACACACACACUCACUCAAUCCGUAGCUCGUUCCUAGCGUGAAAAGCAGAAGGGCGGUUGUCAGCGGGUGGGUGCUGGGGGGAUGCGGCGGCGAGACGGACGGGCAGGUGGAGACUGACAGGCCCGCGGAAUGCGAAGGGGAAUAUCGGAGAGUUCACACGUAAUGAGACCUGUCAAUUUGAACGGCUCAAGGCUCAAGCAGGUGCGGGUUCGGGGCGGCCCGUUGUUGUCUGCGAAACCAUAAUUCAGUGUAAUUUCUCACCCUUGACCAGGACCAGUCUCCAAACAACACGGUAACUGCGGCAAUCGCUGCUUUCUGAAUGGGUUGGAUACACCAAACGUUAUUUUUUAAGUGUGACUAAAUUGUCUUAAAGGUUUUGUAUCAACAUUUCCUCGCCGGUGCAACGCUGAGGGUGCAGUCGAACCCAAGCCGAGGUCCGCCCCGACAUAGUAGGACAUCAUUGUCACCAGGGCGGGGACGUCCACAGGCUUCCUACAUAUGUGCUGCUGGCGCUUGAAGCUACUCGGGGAUCCUGGUCCAGAGAAGUGGGGUACACGGGUAAUAGAGGAUGUCAUCAGAGAUUUGCCCAGGGCCUCAGAUAGCCUGUGAUGGUGCAUAAAGGAAUUUUUAGCAUGUUCACCGGGCCCUGAAGUGACACGCGAGUGAGGGGGCACCAGGACCCGCUGACAGCAGACCUGAGCUACUCCUCCGUCCUUGAAUCCAAUUCCGUGCUUGACACCAGGUGGAAUUAGCUUUGGACAGGUGAGUGAUACGUUCCUCCGAUGCCUCCGCCAAAUAGAUCCGAGGCGUCUCACGGAAGAACUGGAGCCACGGCUCUCCGGUAGCAAGCAAAUUGAGCUAUAAAGCAUCUUAUGGUAAUCACAAUAAGCGUAACGGAUCUCUUUGAUGAGGCAAGACAGGCAUCUGUGUCUAUUUAAAGAGAUGAUCUUAUCAAUUACUAAUCAAUAGUUCUCCUGCAGUUUAAAGUGGAUAAAAUAUACAUUUUCCCUGCAGAGUAUAGUGCUGAGAAAAUCAUUAGGUUUCGCUGUGCUGCUUGUUUUCAGGGUUGCUGCUUUAUUGACUUGUGUAAAUGAUCAUUCACCAGGGAGAAGGUUUAGUUUUCAACAAAUUAAUUAUGAAAGAGGAAAGAACCGCGGAGCAAAAAGGAUAAUUGUACUAACACAUUGAGAUCCUGACCAUCGCCCUGUUCUUUCUCUCUCUCCUCUGCUUGUUUCUCACUUUCCCAUCACCACCCUCUCUCCUCCACUUCGAAUCUUUUGAGUGACAAUCCAGGUGAUACUCAAGACCUUCCCAACCCCCCCACCCCCUCCGCCCCUCUCUCUCUCACCCGCAUCCCCCGGCCUCUCUGGUCAAUGGGUGUCAAUCAGAGCUCGGCCCUCACGUAGAUUGGCAACAAGUAUCCUCAUGCUCGGGAAACAAUUAUAACCGGGCCGCGGUGGAAAUGGAUUCCUGCGUCGACCCACCGCGGCGCGAUGCUCCUCUCCCGGCCGAUGGGGUCCUGCCAUGGGAAGCAAUUAUCGCUGGAUGCCAGCUGACAGCACGAUUCCAUUGCCAGCGCAAUUGUCCCUCAUCCCCGAGCUUUCUCUAGGCAAAUAGCAUCCUCAACGCUCAAAUCAAACCUCUCACCAGCCGCCCGGCUUCUAUCAGAGAUCGACAGGUUCCCUUUGUUCCUCCGGACAAUGCAGAGGGAGGAAGGCGUGUAUGAAGAGGUGUUUUUGAUUUUAAGAGCAGUCAUCUCAAACUGCUCCAUCUCCCUGGUGCGCAGCCCCAAAGAGAGGCCUUCACGCGGGUGGGGUGGAGGAGUUGGAGGAGGGUGUAGCAGGAGGCAAGUGAGGCAGAGACUUUAAUGGAGGGAGUUUGAUGUUGAUUCCUCAUACAGCCUCUAACAACGGCCAAUGUUGAAUUCAAAUGAUUUUAGUGUCCAACAAAAGGAUAACUGCUGUAGGAGAAAAAUCGCUAAUCGAUUGGUAAGUUUAAGUUAUUAAACUAUGGUAUUAAGGAUAAUAAGUUGGUUAACCUGUAAACACGAGGGGACUUUAGAGUUGAGGCUCAUUUUGGAAUUGAGGGCAGGGAAUUCUUUGGGAAAAAUGAGUGAAGAUUGAUGUGGUGGUUUAGGAAGAUGAGUGUAAGAUGAAUGAGCCUAAAUUAACAAAAAUGGUACAAUUAAUCGUUGUAAAAGUCAAGCAGUCAUCUGCCACUUUGCCUAUUAAUUGAAUAAACACAUCCAGGCAAAGUUCAGUCAAUCCUUUAAUCACUUUAAUUAAUGCACAUUGUUCUAUUUUCUCUCCCUCAGUCUUUCACUCUCCCUGUGUACCUAUGUUUGUGAAAUAAUAAAUUAAUUAGAAUACACACUGCCACCAACUAAUUAUCAUGCAAAUAAAGCAGCAACAAAGCACAGUGAGACUGUUAAUCUGUGCCAGAUCGUGGGUGAAAUUCCCCAGCGUGCUCAGAGAUGUCCACUGUGCAAUUAGAGGAAGGAGUGAGUCGGGACGGCUUAGGAGAGGAGAAGAAAGCGCAGCGCUAAAGGACGGGGGCUGCUGUCACUUAUUCACUGUCAAAUUAAUUCUGUCUCCUCCCUUGAGCCUUCCACUGUGGCAAAGUGGCUGCAGUGUCUCCCGCGUUGUUUCGUCUCCACGUAUGAGGAAACGCACUGCAAACGAUAGGAGCUCCCCCCAGCUCGCUGUUCACCGCCGUCCUCAGUUUAGAAGCGUGUUAACAAGUUUGGGCAAGUUCGUCACGUUUGGGAGAUCGUGGUUCCCUAAAGGUGUACAAAAAUCAACAUCCGAUACACGGGGAGGGUCAGGCCCAAUAUGAGGAGGUUUCAGGAAAAGACUGUGUGCUAUUUGGUUACGGUUAGGGGAACAUCGUGGGUUGAAUUGAAAUCAAAACCCCAUCAAGGCCUUCGGCACCCGUAGUUCCAAUCACCAUUCACUAAAAGGUCAAUGGACGAUUGACUUGUUGGUUGGUUGUCUAUAAAAACAUCACACUGCUUCACCCUUCAUACAAUUUCUGUCGUCCACAAGAAAUCGUGGGAUGAGAUUUGGAUUCUGGCUGUUCGGGACAUCUCUCUUCAAAUUGUGUCCCUAACUGGACAGUUGAUCCUGUUGCGGAGUGCGGAGGUCAGGAUGGCGGAAUGGUUCGAUACACAGUCGCAGGCAAGUGCAGUUUAAAUCCUCUUUCAGACCUACACAUAAAAAUGAUUAGUUUUUAGUAAUAUUAAUAUUACUUGGCCUCACGUAUCAGACAUGACCUCGAUCCCUCCCUACCCUCAACCAGUUAACAAAGUUAACUAGAUCCAGUCGGCCCCUCUCUGGUCGCCAUAUGCAGAUAUGAAGAUGUGAUUUUUUUUUCAUUGCCAUGUAUAAAAACCCACCUCUACUGUAACUCUUAAUGUGUCUCUCUUCUGCCUCUUCUUUCCAGAGCUGUAGAGCGAGUUAUCUUCAACCAACUCUCCUCCUAUCGCCACCAAGACAAGCAAUGCGCUGCUUCCUUUUUCCGUGUUACUUUUUAGCUUAGAAAGCGACUGUUCAACUUCUGGUGUUCAACAUCUGGAGUAAUUUGCACAAGACCUUUUCUAACUCUGUUACAAGUUGUGUGAAUGUGUUUGAAUCACUUUUAAACGGAUACGUUUGCUUCCUAGAGAACACUGGACUGUUUCUGUGGGCGUGCGGCAUUUGUAUUUUGGUUCGUGAUGAGUACAGACUCAUUAGUGUGUUGGACGUUGGUUCUGGCUCCCAUAUGGGAGAAGCUCGUCCCCAGCAGGCUCCAACAUGGUGGAUUGAGAUCCCCGAUGACAUCAGGACGGCAGAAAGUCUGUUCAGCCUCCGACACAAAGCAGUAGUAGCGGUAACCAGGUGGAAGAACAGCGCUGCAAAACCGUCGCGACCGUUCCGCACAUUCUUGGUCGUCGCCUCACUCGAUGCCUUGCACUGAUUGGAGGCAGCCUGGGUUGCUUUUGAAUGAAAUGAAAUGCGUCCGUUAGUAAUCAAAGGUCGCUAAUUAGCAGUGGCAUUAGUUUCCGUGCAUGCGUGACGUGACGUGAUUCUUUUUAUCAAAGGCCUCUUUGUUUAUGAAGCCCAGACGCGUCACCUGCUGUGUCUAAACCGAAUGCUUAUUCUGCGACUUCCCUUCAACUUUCCGGCAUUAACCUACUUAGGAAAGAACUUACUCCCAGGUAAUUGCACCCCCACCCCCCACCCUCCGACGACACACACACUCACGCGCACAGACAGCCCAUAGAAUCAGAUGCAAAGAGGACCUUGUUUAAAAAUUCAGACCCCAUCUUGAUUCAUCCCCGGUGAAUUCAAAGAACACAUCAAGGGUGCUCUUCUACGAGAGAGGAACCAAUCACAAGCACCCUUUCCCCCCCUUUGUGGCCAUGUAGGGUGGAUAUGCCACAAAAUACCAAAACAAACAAGAGCAAAAGGGCCUUAUUAUCAGCGGCCUCGUUAUCAUAACGCUCUAAUUUGCCUAAAUCAUGUCCUUAUUAGGCCCAAAAGUCUCUCUGUCCCGGCUGGGUAAUGAGAGACCAGGCUGGGAUUCUUCUCCCAGCUCUGACAUGUCUUUUAUUACUCUAACACUAAAUGGAGGCAAUGACGAACAUUUCAGUUGUGGGAUUACUAGCCGUGUACCCUUCAUGUAAGAGAGGGGGAAAUGGGCCCUCUUUUAAUAUUUGAUUGAUUUCUUUUUUUUCUUUUUUUCCUGUGUAAUUUGGUCCAAUUCAUCAUUUGAGGCCUUUCGUUUGCUCGCUUUGUGAAAUUUGUCUAAUGCGGAAGUCCUGAUUACUGGACCCAUGUUAGCCUUUGAUAUCCAUUUUUGUCUCGUCCUAAUUUUGGCCGCUGCGACUGCUGGAAACUUUCCGCUCACUCCGAGCGUCCAACUUUUUUGCCAAUUUCACAGCGAGCGUAUUUGCAGAGUGUCCUGCAAACGACACAGUUAAACUAUUCACAAAAGAGACGGGGGCCGAGCCGGAUCGUCUUAAUGCUUGUUUUCAGUGUGGUUUGAUCAGGGAAUGUUUUAGAAACAGCUGGAGUUCUCGGUCGGGCGGCAUCAGAAGAAGGAAGGCAAAGAGCGAUGCACAUGUACCACAACAACUGACCUCUUCUGUGGAAUGUAAACCGUCCAUGAAAUAAUAAGCUGCUUGUCACGAACCCCACGUUGAACACACCAGCGGUCAUUUGGGAAGGCAAAACAUCAGUCUUGUUAUAAACGAAGAAAACACAAAAAAUUUGUAUGUAAACAGCAACAAAAUGCUACGGAAAUCAUUUUUGCCACGUGGAAAGGAAAGAAGGAUCACAAUCUUCAAAUGCUUCCCUCCGCGCGUCGGUCUCGAUCUAUUUUAUUAUUUCCAAAAGGAGAAAAAAAAAAAAGGGAAAACAUCCAUUAUCAGUAAAAAAUGUGAGGGAAUCACAUUCAUUAUUUUCAUUACACACACACACCAAAUUGCAUCAAGCUUAUGAAAUAUUUCUUCCUCCUGUUCAAAGGCUUGUUAGAGCUGGUCUUCAAUUACAGCCGUGGCUGUAACGUGCUGUCAGGUCUCUUUAGCCAUUCGUUAAGUCGGGGGCCAUUCCGCGCUGCGCGAGCUAACCGAGGGCCUAAUUGUUGUUUUGGUGGCUAAAGGUCGGCUAAUGAAGCAGGAGGCUGACGGAGGCUGGUGGUGCGACAGCGGCGGGGUGGGGGGGGG